rnacentral:lncRNA from 1 species
GAGGGGCGCGCGAAACAGGAUAGAAGCUGCCUUUGGCAGCUUGAGAGACAGGUGGCGGGAGAGAGAAGCAGAAGGCUGCACAGAAAAACAGGAGAGAAGCAGAAGGCUGCACAGAAAAACAGGAGAGAAGCAGAGACGGGAGCAACACGAGAAGCAGGAAACGUGAGGUCAGAGAGUCCAAAAAGCUGCCCUUGGCAGUGUGAGAAAAGAAGAAGCAGGAAACGUGGGAAAGGAGGACUGCAAGAGGAAAGAAGGCGAGAGGAGAGAGGCAGCCAGCCAGAGGUCAGAGAGGGCAGAGACCAGCAGAAACGGGAGCAACACAGAGCAAAGUUUCACUCCAUUUUUCUUGGUUUUAUCUUCUCAAACCCAUGUUUUACUUUUGGUUUAAUUUGAUAAUAAUGUGUAACUAAAUUUAUUUUGACUAGAGGUUAAUUCAAAGCCAUGAAUAUAUUUGUAAUAUGAAUUGAUUACCUUCAGUUGUGAUUUCUGAGUUGUGAUUUAAUUUGCUUAACUGCUUGAUUGAUAACUUAUUUUUGUAUGUCGAUUAAGAAUGCAUACUUAAUUUACAUGCAUGAA